rnacentral:lncRNA from 1 species
GUAAUUGUUUUAAAUGCAGAUUUUAUACUGCUUUAUUCAAAAUUGUAUGCAUAUUAUGGAAACGCCGUCGCUUCUCGACUUCGUUGCUGCCAUAUUAUCAACAUUGUUACCAAAUCAAUCUUUUACAGACAAAUCUUUUCAGAUAAAUAUAAAAACAUAUAUAUGUAUAUAAGCAUAUGUAAACACAUAUGUAAAUUAACUUUAUGUGGUCGGAAACGCUUCCUUCGGUGCGUUACAUACAACUGUUAUUCGCACAAAUACAAUAUACCCUAUUUACUCUUCGAGUACCGGGUAUAAAAGGAAACAAUUCCUGUACAUGAACUAGCAUGUCAAUUAACUUUAUGUC